AUGGAUCUCCGAGGUGGUGUAACACAAAUCGAGCUGGAGUACAUGGUACACGAUGAAGAUGCAGAGCCCAUUGCCCUGCCAUUCCCACUUUUGGAGAAACUCACAGAUUAUUUUUCUGACGAGUUGAUAAUUGGAAGAGGUGGCUUUGCGGUGGUUUAUAAGGCAGUGCUUGAUAAUGGCACCGUCGCUGUAAAGAGGCUGUUCAAUACGCACAUGCAUGAGGAACAAUUCCAGGGUGAGGUGGAAUGUCUCAUGAAGGUGAAGCACAAAAACAUUGUACGGUUUCUGGGAUAUUGCGCCGACACACAAGGGAAUAUUUCGGACUACAAAGGGAAAAUGGUUAUGGCGGAUGUACAGCAGCGGCUGCUCUACUUUGAAUAUCUACCCAAAGGAAGUCUUGAUGGUUAUAUAACAGAUUCACCUGGAGAACUUAACUGGAGAAAGCGAUACGAUAUGAUAAAGGGGGUCUGUGAAGGGUUACAUUAUCUUCACCAGAAUAAUAUUCUGCACUUGGAUCUAACACCCGGAAAUAUAUUACUGGAUGAGGAUAUGAUGCCGAAAAUUACUGAUUUCGGAUUGUCAAGGUGUUUUGAGGAAGACCAAACAGGGGUCAUUACUAAAAAUGUGGCUGGAACGAGGGGAUAUUUGGCGCCGGAAUGCUAUAACAAGGAAAUCAUACUCACGCACAAGUUUGACUUAUAUAGUCUUGGUGCUAUAAUAAUAGAGAUAUUGACCGGAAAGAAGGGGUGUCAAGUUACUAUUGAGAAUGUAUGA
rnacentral:rRNA from 1 species